GAUCCGGGACCGCCCCCCCCCAAAAAAAAUAACCUCGGGGUUGGGGCUCACCGGUGUCGCCCCGUCGGAGGUGGGGAACCCACGGGGCCGGCCCUAUUGAGGGGCUUUUGCUGUGCCCGGCCCCGCUCCCCAUUGCGGGGAGCCCUUUGCGGGGUCGCACCCGCAGCGCUGAGACCCCCGAGCGGGGUCCCGGGAUGCGGAGGGGGGGGAUCUGGCCCCAUUGUCAGCCCUGCCCCAGCUUGGGGCUGUAGGGCGGCACGGAGGGGGGAUGCCGGCCCCGGGGCCGGUAGGGCAGAGCUGCCCCCGGGGGGGUCUCUGCUUGCGCCCCCCCAGCCGCCGGCACCGCACGGCCGCCGCGGGAUCGUUACGCCCCGCUGCUGCGGGAAGGAAACGAAAAGAAAGAAACAGGGAGCGGGACCGGCACCGGGAAACGAAAAAUAACAACCCCGGGCUGCUGGAAACGAAUAAUAAUGCACAAGUGGGGAAUGAGCGUAAAUCAGCCCCUCCUGUGCUCCCUCGUUAAGUUACACGUGGGCAGGCUGAGGCACAAGGGGCUGUUCCCCUCCUGCUGUUGGCACAGGGCUCUUGGGCUGCCUGUGGUCCGUGUGUCCCUGUCACAUCACCCAGCCCGGACGGACUGGACACACAGAACUGCCUGGAUGAAGUUUCCAGGCCAAACACCAGGCACCCAUCAGAGGGUCCUGGCCAUGCUGAAGGGACACCGAGAUGAGCUGUGAUCCCGCAGGAGAUGUCCGGGCAGCACCCAGGUACCCGGGAUCCGACCUGGCUGGCGCUCAGUUAAUGCCCCCUUCAUAAAUUCCUGCGCUGUGCGUCACCGCCGUGUUUGUGAAGGGCUCGGUGGACACCUCGGGAGAUGGGCAGGUCGGGAUCAAAGCUGGAAUCUGAGGAGAUAACGUGGCUGCUGCUGCCCCGUGCCCCAUGAGGAGGGCAGUGACCCUCACCCUCCACAGCUCAGCCGGGUGCUGCUGGGCACCUGCUGAGGAAGCAGAGGCAGUUUUGGAGAUGGAUCCCCCUCUGACAGCCAUCCCAAACCCACGGCUGUGCCACGUGCGUCCCUGUGCCCAGCCGGGCAGGAGUUUUCUGAGCUGAUGCCUGGGUUUCUGAUGAGCUGGUGGAGGGAGGAACGGGGGCUCUGCAGCAGUGCCGUGAGGACAGUGGCUGAGGACCUUUCCUGUUAAUGCCCCCCUGCACCGCUCCAAGCCUUUACUCCCAGCUGCAAACCUCUGGGUUUGAUUGCCGCUGCGGUGCUGGGAGAAGCAGUAAAAGCCAAACCCUGGAGGGGGGGACAAUAAAGCGAGCGGAGAGGAGAUAAGCAGGGAUCAAACACGGCGCGGGAGCCACCCCACGCCGGCCUCUCAAAGGCCCCUUUGUUCCCCAGCCUCCUGCUCGGGCCGAGGGCGAGCUAUCAGCCCUGCGCGGGGCACACGGAGCCCUGCACCGCAGCCCUCGGCGGUUGGGCAGACACCUGCGUGUCCCGGCAAUAAAAGGAGCUUUAAUUCCAGUCCCAGGGCUGAUCCCAGUUGCACACCGAGGCCCGAUAACGUAUCUGGCCGGGCAAUAAAGCCAUUAUUGGGGCGGGAGGCGAUGGAAGAGGCGCUCGCCUUCCUCCUCCUCGCACCGGGCUCGCCGAGGGGGUGCCCCCAUCGCCGCUGCACCCCCGACCCCAUCCCCAUCCCGCUGUCUGUC